rnacentral:rRNA from 1 species
GACGUAGGGCACGAGCGUUGUCCGGAUUUAUUGGGCGUAAAGAGCUCGUAGGCGGCUUGUUGCGUCGGCUGUGAAAUCUCGUGGCUUAACUGCGGGCUUGCAGCUGAUACGGGCGGGCUGGAGUUCGGUAGGGGAGACUGGAAUUCCUGGUGUAGCGGUGAAAUGCGCAGAUAUCAGGAGGAACACCGGUGGCGAAGGCGGGUCUCUGGGCCGAUACUGACGCUGAGGAGCGAAAGCGUGGGGAGCGAACAGG